rnacentral:rRNA from 1 species
CUCAUGACGAACGCUGGCGGCGUGCCUAAUACAUGCAAGUAGAACGCUGAAGAGAGGAGCUUGCUCUUCUUGGAUGAGUUGCGAACGGGUGAGUAACGCGUAGGUAACCUGCCUUGUAGCGGGGGAUAACUAUUGGAAACGAUAGCUAAUACCGCAUAACAAUAGGUGACACAUGUCAUUUAUUUGAAAGGGGCAAUUGCUCCACUACAAGAUGGACCUGCGUUGUAUUAGCUAGUAGGUGAGGUAACGGCUCACCUAGGCGACGAUACAUAGCCGACCUGAGAGGGUGAUCGGCCACACUGGGACUGAGACACGGCCCAGACUCCUACGGGAGGCAGCAGUAGGGAAUCUUCGGCAAUGGGGGCAACCCUGACCGAGCAACGCCGCGUGAGUGAAGAAGGUUUUCGGAUCGUAAAGCUCUGUUGUAAGUCAAGAACGAGUGUGAGAGUGGAAAGUUCACACUGUGACGGUAGCUUACCAGAAAGGGACGGCUAACUACGUGCCAGCAGCCGCGGUAAUACGUAGGUCCCGAGCGUUGUCCGGAUUUAUUGGGCGUAAAGCGAGCGCAGGCGGUUUGAUAAGUCUGAAGUUAAAGGCUGUGGCUCAACCAUAGUUCGCUUUGGAAACUGUCAAACUUGAGUGCAGAAGGGGAGAGUGGAAUUCCAUGUGUAGCGGUGAAAUGCGUAGAUAUAUGGAGGAACACCGGUGGCGAAAGCGGCUCUCUGGUCUGUAACUGACGCUGGGGCUCGAAAGCGUGGGGAGCGAACAGGAUUAGAUACCCUGGUAGUCCACGCCGUAAACGAUGAGUGCUAGGUGUUGGAUCCUUUCCGGGAUUCAGUGCCGCAGCUAACGCAUUAAGCACUCCGCCUGGGGAGUACGACCGCAAGGUUGAAACUCAAAGGAAUUGACGGGGGCCCGCACAAGCGGUGGAGCAUGUGGUUUAAUUCGAAGCAACGCGAAGAACCUUACCAGGUCUUGACAUCCCGAUGCUAUUUCUAGAGAUAGAAAGUUACUUCGGUACAUCGGUGACAGGUGGUGCAUGGUUGUCGUCAGCUCGUGUCGUGAGAUGUUGGGUUAAGUCCCGCAACGAGCGCAACCCCUAUUGUUAGUUGCCAUCAUUCAGUUGGGCACUCUAGCGAGACUGCCGGUAAUAAACCGGAGGAAGGUGGGGAUGACGUCAAAUCAUCAUGCCCCUUAUGACCUGGGCUACACACGUGCUACAAUGGUUGGUACAACGAGUUGCGAGUCGGUGACGGCAAGCUAAUCUCUUAAAGCCAAUCUCAGUUCGGAUUGUAGGCUGCAACUCGCCUACAUGAAGUCGGAAUCGCUAGUAAUCGCGGAUCAGCACGCCGCGGUGAAUACGUUCCCGGGCCUUGUACACACCGCCCGUCACACCACGAGAGUUUGUAACACCCGAAGUCGAUGAGGUAACCUUUUGGAGCCAGCCGCCUAA